ACUGAAGAAUGCUUAUAUUUCUAGUUUAAUAUUUUACUUUAGAGAAUUAAUGUGACUCUGUCUUUGUUUAAUUGUUUAAUAUGGAGUUUUAGUAGGGGUCUUUUUCCAGAGGCCCCCACCCUACUCUGACUACACCCACGGUCUCUGUCUCAGCAGCAGCCUGGCUCCGCCCUGGGGCGCCCUCGGCCCUGCCCGUGCCCACCACCCAGAUGGCGUGCCUGCAAUUGUUCAUUGAUUGUGUGUUUAGACUUCAUUUGGGAUUCUUCUUCUUUCUUGAGGCUCAACAAGAUUCAAGAGGAGACACAAUUGGCUUUCUCUCCCCCUCAAAGCCAUAUUGAAAGAACAUGUGUGAGAUGGGGAGAUCUUGUGACUAUUCGGAAAAAAUAAGCAGCCACAACACUCUUGCCAGAAGCAUGUGUGUUUGAAAUAGUUUUUCUUCCCUUGAUUUUGGGUUUGGUCAUGUGACAUGCUUUGGCCGAGAAGCCAGCUUCCAUCUGGUGUUUCUUGCAACUCUUGUAUUAGAACCUCGAGCUAUAAUGUAAGAUGUCUGAGGCUACCAUGCUGGUUAAGAAGACCAGACUAGCCCCAUGGAAAGACCACAUGGGGAAACUCUGAUGUUACAUGAAAUAAGAGAGAUGUCCAGCCAGCUCCCAGUUGCUUCUGGAACUCCACACUGUUUCAGAUUCAGCUCUCAUGAAAAACCUGAGCCAGAGCUGUACAGCCAGUCUGUUUCUGAAUUCCUGACCCAGAGAAACCAUGGAAGAUAAUCAAUGAUAGCUGUUGUUUGAAACCAUUAAACUUGAGAGACCGACUGUACAGACGAUUCCAGCUCAUACAUGACAUGUGACAAUAGAACUCUGACCCACAAACUCCGCAGCAACCAACUGGUUUUCAGGAAGGAAUCCAAGCUACAACCUUGGCAGCAAUCAGAUCACAACACCCAGGACUUGGUCGGUGACUGCCUGCUUCCCUUUUUUUUUUUUUGCCUCUGCUUCCAGUUCAGGACCAACCAGAGAAAGCCAUACCAAUCCCCAAAUCAGUCACAUAAAAUGCACUGCUCCUAGUUAAGCCCACCUCCGGUUUCUCUAUGCCAAUAACCUCCAAUCAGAGUAUGACUAGAGAUGGCUCUUUUCCACUCCCGGUCUCCUGAAUGCCUUUGAGUCUCUGCCAAACACAAGUGACAGUGGCUGUAAUGCCAAGAAUUUGAAAGAACCCAACGGUAACAAGAGAAAACAUUAAUUACAUCAAUGAUAUGUAAAGUCUAAAAACAUUGCGGGAAGAACACUUAAUGUUCAACAUAUAUAUUAUGUUAAAAUUGGCUUAGGAAGACAAAUAUGUGAAAUGAUACAAGCUUAAGUAUAGCUAUGUCUGAGUGGAGAAAUUACAGGUAUUGUUUAUGCCUGAUUAUGGAUGGUGCGUGAAGGCUCCAGCAUUUUGGGGUUCCGAUGUCACCUGCAGUGGCCAUGCCAUGCCCCCGCCGUGCCUUGGGCGCAGCUUUGGGCACACCCCCAGCCUUCACAGGGGCUUCUAGGAAAUGAGGUCCCCCUACCAAGUACCGGCGACUCUCUCUGCAUGGGCGGCGCGGAUUGGGCCUUCUUGGCGAUGGCGCAGGUGGGACGAGCAGAACUUCCACUGGACUGCUAUCUGAGAAGGCACUGUGGUGGCCUGGAGCCUGAGACAUCCACAUAGACAACUGUAAAGGUGAGUCCCCCAAUCUUACGGACUGAGGGUGGCGGGAAUAGCCGGCAGUCUUAGGGCACAGGGAGGUGCAGGGGUCGUUCGAUGGAGGAAACACGUUCUUCAAUAAAAUUAAUGAGCCACUUAAAUAUACAGGGUCCUAUUAAUAGUUUAAGGAACAGCGGAAUCGCUGGCCCAGCAAGGCCAGUUAGAAGAGAUGUUAGCCACGGAUUCUAUUCAAACCAUCCCUGGAACUAAGACUUUAU